CGCAGAGCCUUUCCUCCAUUUUCGUGCAACCCACAAGCCCUGGGAUCUAUCCCUGCCCGUCGUGGGCUCGCUAGGGUCCUGACCGUCCACACCUCUUUUCUGGGCUCCACAUAGGCUGCCCGUACGCACUCUGAGACGGUAAUGACAAGCGUGUUGGGAGUUGCUGGGAGAAGCGCCGCGUGAUCCUACCUAGAGCCGAAUCAUUCUGCUGCCCACAGUGCCUGCCCGAGGACGUCUACACGUGUAGGUCCCUAGGCAGACACCCUCCACUGUGUCUUCUCUGCUUAAGACCAUCUCGCCCCCACCCAGCCUGCACCCCAGCCUCUGGCUGAUGCAGAAGGAAGCCCUUUGCUGGCUGAUGGCUGUUCCUCAGAAACCGGUUCCAAAUAGGUACUCAGGAAGUGUCCAUUGUUGAAUGAACUCACGAAAUAACCAGGAGGUGAGAGGAGGGGCAGGAGAGCCUGGUGGUCACAGAUCCGAGCUUGGGGUCAGGUCAGGCCUUCAGGUUGCUGAAACAGGUCCUGGCUGCUCACCCGAGGGGUGCCCUGAACCAUCUGUGGAGGCCAGAGUUCGGGGUUGGGUCCUUCCCAGAGGACACCUUGGAGGCAGUAUAGAGGAAUUUUGGUAGUGUAGGCACAGGGGCCCGCUUGGGCCCCAGGAACACAGGCAGGCAAGCCCUGGGGUGAGGGAAUUCUGCCCGCCUCACUACCUCUUCCUCCCCUGAUGUGGCAGAGCCGUAUGGCUAGUCUGGAGGGGCAGAGAUCAGAGGCCUCCUUCACCCUCCUCAGGCCUCCGCCUGGAACAGGCUGGCACAGCUAAAGGGUGAGGAGACUCCCUGGCUCCCUCAUCCCUCCCUACCUCAGAUGCUCCUGGGCUCUGGACCCCUGGCAGCUCCUCUGGUACACUACGUAUCCACAUUGGCUUCUGGACAAUCUGGUCAUCCGGUGACCGCCUUCCCCUUCAUGUUGGCAGCCUGGGCUAGGCAUGGCAGGUACCCUUUCCCACCAGAGACUAGCAGGCCCAAGGUCAGCGGUCUUCGUAACGACAGUGUCUGCCCUCCCCUCGCCUGUUGUGGGGAGCGAGGAGGCUGCUUGGCUCGAUAUGGCCCAUCUUGUGAGACAAUAAAUUUGGCCAUUGACCCAGCAAGCAGACGUCAAUAAAUGAACAGUUAAUAUAAACAUUGUCCUUCCCAAAUUAAUCCAGGCUGUGGGGGUGGGGCUGGGAGAGUGGGAAGCUGAAAUAUGGAAGGAGGCAUCUCCAGGAGCCCCCCCACCUCCUAGCCCACCCUGUGAGAAGGCAGGGUCUGCUUCUCCUUCACCAGUGCGCUCUGAGGCCGGCGUUGGCUCCCUGCUGCAGCUAUUAGAAGCACACGGGGAAACAGCAGAACCACCCCAUCCUGGGAGUGUCCCCCACUUCCCUCACCCCCAGUGCCACUUGAGAUAUAUGUUAAGUGGACAAAGGGUUCACAUGUAAAACACAUGUCUUGGGGUUGGAGAGAUGGCUCAGAGAUUGGGAGCACUCUCUACUCUUCCAGACAACCCAGGUUCAAUUCCCAGAACACACGUGGCAGCUCACAACUCUCUGUAACUCUAGUUCCAGGGGACCUGGCGCCCUCACACAGAUGUAGGCAAAAGACACCAAAGCACCAUAGACAGACAGACAGACAGACAGACAGACAGACAGACAGACGUCUUUGUGUGCCUCUAUGCUUUCUGGAGACCCUAGUGUGAAGUGUGGGCUGAUCCAGCCUGUACUGGUCACCCUCACUUUCUGAAGUAGGACCCACAGAUCCAUAAAGAGUGCUGGCAUGCUCAAUAAAUGUGGUUGUCACCACCCUCAGGUAGCUCUAUGGCCUCUGUGUCCUCCAGGAAGAAGGCUUGUGGUGGUUUGAAUGAGAACAGCCCUACAGGCUCACAUAUUCAAAUAUCUGUUCCCUAGUUGGUGGGACUGUUUGGGAAGGAUUAAAAGGUGUGGCUUGUUGGAGGAGGUGUGUCACUGGGACAGGCUUUGAGGUUUCAUAAGACUCCCACCAUUCCCAGUGUUUCUUUCUCUGCCUCCAACUUGUGGAUCAAGAUGUGGCCACUCAGCUGUUGCUGCUGCCAGGCCUGUGUUCUACCUCUAACCCUCUGAA